UACGAAGGGGGCGAGCGUUGUUCUGAAUUACUGGGCGUAAAGGGCGCGCAGGCGGCUCUGAAAGUCAGAUGUGAAAGCCCCGGGCUUAACCUGGGAAUUGCAUUUGAUACUCUGGAGCUUGAGUACGGGAGAGGAGAGUGGAAUUCCCAGUGUAGAGGUGAAAUUCGUAGAUAUUGGGAAGAACACCGGUGGCGAAGGCGGCUCUCUGGCCCGGUACUGACGCUGAGGUGCGAAAGCGUGGGGAGCAAACAGG
rnacentral:rRNA from 1 species